AUUUACAAUCUCAUAUUAAUCAGCAGUGAAAUAUAUUAUUUAUCUACAAUAAACCUUGUAAGUCGAUUAAACGUAAACAAAUAGAAAUAUCAAACCAAUCACAGUCGACACAAACUUUUCCAUAAAUCCUCAACUGCACUUCUAUAAAUAUUAUUUUCCAUUAAGAUCAUAGAUGGUGUAAAUCCAAACAGUAUUUCUCCUGAUUUUGUGUCCCACGUUGCCUUCAGUCUGUUGAGAGCAGAGAAAUCAUUUCCAUAGAGAGGAGGCUUUGCAUCGUCAGCUGAUCCUCCAGUGAACUGAGAAGGUUUAUAGUCCUGUGAGUUCAACACUGCAGGACUCAGAUCUGUCAGUCAACACAGCAGAAAGCACAACUACCAUGACUCUCAUCACCAUCCUCAUCUGGACGCUGGCCUGCUGCUGUUUUACAGGAUGCAGCGGUCAGGUGACUGUGACUCAACCUCCAGUAGUGACAUCUACUCCAGGAUCCACUGUCACUCUGACCUGUAAAACCAACCCGGCUGUUUAUAGAGAUAGUGAUGGAGAUGAUGCUAUGUCCUGGUAUCAACAGAAAUCUGGACAGACUCCAAAACCCCUAAUAAGAUAUGCAAGCAAACGUGAAUCAGGAACACCAGCUCGGUUUAGUGGCAGUGGAAGCAGCUCUGACUUCACUUUGACCAUCAGUGGAGUUCAGACUGAAGAUGCAGCAGUUUACUACUGUCAGAGUCUCCAUAAUGUAGGCAGUGACUGGCCGUUCACACAGUGAUUUAUAGUCGUACAAAAACCUCCCUCAGUCAGACUGCAGAGACACUGAGCUGUUACAGCAGGAACCGACUGCAGCUGCUGAAGAGGAAGAGACUCUGACACAGACCACUGAACACAGAGCUGACAGUAACCUCACCAAGCACAAACCUUAAUGCCAUCUUUACUUAUCUUUUCAAACUCAGAUUUUUACAAUUUUCAGUUAUGAGCAGAGACUAUUUUCACAGUUUUCAUUGCUGCAUCAUCACCAUGACCUUGAUUUAGAGCAAUAGGUCAUCCAGCUGCAACAAUGUUGUUUAUGCCCCAA